rnacentral:rRNA from 1 species
AUUGAACGCUGGCGGCAGGCCUAACACAUGCAAGUCGAACGAGUGGCGGACGGGUGAGUAAUGUCUGGGAAACUGCCCGAUGGAGGGGGAUAACUACUGGCAACGGUAGCUAAUACCGCCUACCAUCGGAUGUGCCCAGAUGGGAUUAGCUAGUAGGUGGGGUAACGGCUCACCUAGGCGACGAUCCCUAGCUGGUCUGAGAGGAUGACCAGCAACACUGGAACUGAGACACGGUCCAGACUCCGACGUGAGGGAGCAGUGGGGAAUAUUGCACAAGGGGCGCAAGCCUGAUGCAGCCAGGCCGCGGGUAUGAAGAAGGCCUUCGGGUGGUAAAGUACUUUCAGCGAGGAGGCGUUACGCGCAGAAGAAGCACCGGCUAACUCCGUGCCAGCAGCCGCGGUAUUC